rnacentral:rRNA from 1 species
UACGUAGGGGGCUAGCGUUGUCCGGAAUCAUUGGGCGUAAAGCGCGCUUAGGCGGCCCGUUAAGUCCGCUGUAAAAGUCCAGGGCUCAACCCUGGAACGCCGGUGGAUACUGUCGGGCUAGAGUCCGGAAGAGGCGAGUGGAAUUCCUGGUGUAGCGGUGGAAUGCGCAGAUAUCAGGAGGAACACCGAUGGCGAAGGCAGCUCGCUGGGACGGUACUGACGCUGAGAAGCGAAAGCGUGGGGAGCGAACAGG